ACUCAAGGAAGCAGGGAUGGCGAGAUUA
rnacentral:piRNA from 1 species